GUGUUUACCAUACCAUUGUUCCAUCGCCAUGGAGAUGAUGAGCCGCAAAGCACUGGCAAGAGGCCUCCCAUGCAGGAUGAAGCCAAAGAAGAAGACGGAGAGAAGAGAGGAAGGACACGCCCAUUAACCAGAGGACCCAAAACAUAUCUCAAGGAGCUCAUGAAGUCACCCUCAUGCACACAGUUUCCCAGGUGUCAGAUCUGUUUGGGCCAUACACUCAAGAACACCAUGUGGGGAUGAAGGCAGAGAGCAAGGUGAUGCAGAUGAAGCCAAGGACGCUGAAGACUUCCUGCAAACCCCCAGAAGCUGGCGGAGAGGCCCUGCCAGUCUUCAGAAGGAGCCAACCCUGCUGAUACCUUGACCUUGAACUUCUAGCCCCAGAACUAUGAGAAAUAAAUUUCUGUUAUUUAAGCCA